ACACGGAGGGCGCAAGCGUUGCUCGGAAUCGCUGGGCGUAAAGCGGGUGUAGGCGGUCUAGCAAGUCAGAUGUGAAAGCCCACGGCUCAACCGUGGAAGUGCAUCUGAAACUGCUAGACUUGAGUGCCGGAGAGGGAAGUGGAAUUCCUGGUGUAGGGGUGAAAUCCGUAGAUAUCAGGAGGAACACCGGUGGCGAAGGCGACUUCCUGGACGGCCACUGACGCUGAGACCCGAAAGCGUGGGGAGCAAACAGGAUUAGAAACCCUAGUAGUCC
rnacentral:rRNA from 1 species